rnacentral:rRNA from 1 species
AUUGAACGCUGGCGGCAGGCCUAACACAUGCAAGUCGAGCGAGCGGCGGACGGGUGAGUAUUGUCUGGGAAACUGCCUGAUGGAGGGGGAUAACUACUGGAAACGGUAGCUAAUACCGCAUACCCUCAGAUGUGCCCCGGUGGGAUUAGCUAGUAGGUUGGGUAAAGGCUCACCAAGGCGACGAUCCCUCGCUGGUCUGAGAGGAUGACCAGCCACACUGGAACUGAGACACGGUCCAUACUCCUACGGGAGGCAGCAGUGGGGAAUAUUGCACAAUGGGCGCAAGCCUGAUGCAGCCAUGCCGCGUGUGUGAAGAAGGCCUUCGGGUUGUAAAGCACUUUCAGCGGGGAGGCGUUACCCGCAGAAGAAGCACCGGCUAACUCCGUGCCAGCAGCCGCGGUAAUUC